GAUGAGUGCCAUCGUUACGAUAUUAUUAUAUUUAUUCCUAUAAGCCACCUAAUAAGUAUGCAACCAGUUAUGCGUUCGUGCUUAGAACGGGUUACCUAGAUUUGUGACCAAAUAUAAUAGAAGGUUGGUACUACGCUUGGGGAAUUCUGGUCUUAGCUUGUGGCUGUACGGCUUCCGACGGAGGGGCAUGUCAUAUCGCCCAUCGGAGAGGAUUGUCACUUCAAUUUUCAAUCUGGUUGGAUGAACAAGUAAAUUUUUCCGUGGUCACUGUUUAAAGAAUACAAUAUUUAGUUAAAAUAUUCAUUUAUUAUAAGAUUGGUUUAUUUUGGAAGGAGCUAUUUUUUGUUUUGGGAUUUGUGCGGUGAGAGGAAGAGUUUUAUUUCCAAGUUUCCUUUUGGAAAACAGUGGCCACGGAAGAAAAUAAGAAGAUGGAAAAUUAAGUCAAUCAUACUUUAAUUUGUUUUUUUUGGAAUACAUAAUCAUUUUGGGGAUAUUUUGGAUGGAAUGUGGAUGUUUUGUUUGGUUUUUGUGGAAUAAAAGUUGAGUUUUCCGAUACUGGGCAGCUACCUGCUUGCCGUACCUUCCUGUUGGUGUGGAGUACCUCCCUAGGGUUGGGAACCAGAGGAUACCUUAUUUGGCUCUCCCCUCAUCAUCUUCACCGAAGGUUGGAAGAAGCAAUCCGCCUACUUUUUGUAGGGACAGGUUUUUAUAUAACUAAAUUUGCAUGUCAAUUUGUUUUAAUAAUAACUUCCAAUUUUACUAUU